AGUUGCGGGUGGUGCAGUGCCAGGCGACGUAGAUUUCGCGGCGGCCGAUGGACUUGCUGUACUGGUCAGUGGUGACGGCAACGUAGCCGAUCCAGUUAGACUCGCGGUCCCACGACUCGCGGGACAUGGAGUGGAGGAGGAAGGCCUCCGGGACGCUGACUUGUGCGGUGGAGUAGAGGAAGGAGGCGAUCUCGUAGUUGGCGGCGUCUUGGAGCAUGACUUUGUCGAAGAAGUUGGCGUGGCCGUAGCGGCUGGACCCGGCGUACUUGGAGUUGGCGUCGUUGUUGAAGGCGUCGUAGGUGCCCUGGCAGAAGUCGCCGCAGCGGAGGAUCAGGGUUCGGAGGUGGACGUCCAGCGGGUCCAGGAGGCCGGCCCAGUUGUUUCUCCGAGGAGAGCUGACCAUNNNNNNNNNNNNNNNNNNNNCUACUACUACUACUACUACUACUACUACUACUACUCUCUCUCUCUCUCUCUCUCUCUCUCUCUCUCUCUCUCUCUCUCUCUCUCUCUCUCUCUCUCUCUCUCUCUCUCUCUCUCUCUCUCUCUCUCUCUCUCUCUCUCUCGGAAUCCAGAUCGGAUCUGAGGACCGGACUCACCCCACAUGCGGCGUUCGUCAACCUCGGUGGCGAUCGGACAUGGACGUCGGAAGCAGCUCGUUCGUGGAGGAGUUGGUCUUGUUUACUGUGUUGUUGUUCUCCGGCCUGAGCAGUUGCUCGGCCGAUACGAGCUCGGUGCCCAGCACAUUGACCCACUCGUAGUUGAGGGUGGUGCCGCGCCAAGCGACGUAGAUUUCGCGGCGGCCGAUGGACUUGCUGUACUGGUCAGUGGUGACGGCGACGUAGCCGAUCCAGUUAGACUCGCGGGACAUGGAGUGGAGGAGGAAGGCCUCCGGGACGCUGACUUGUGCGGUGGCGUAGAGGAAGGAGGCGAUCUCGUAGUUGGCGGCGUCUUGGAGCAUGACUUUGUCGAAGAAGUUGGCGUGGCCGUAGCGGCUGGACCCGGCGUACUUGGAG
rnacentral:lncRNA from 1 species